UAGAAUUCCAUUCCAACUGUAAGAGAAAAACAAGCCCUUCCUCAAACAAGUUCUUGUUUUCAGAUCCCAUCAACCUCUUUGGUUACCAGCUACACCACUCAGCAGCACACGAAAGGACAUGUGAUUUCCUAGAGCAGAGAACAUGUAGAAAGAACAGUCAUGCUCCAGUUUAAAAGGACAGAACUACCAACAAAGGUUGAAUUAUUGGCCAAAGGGGUUUUCUGAGAACCAUCAAACAACCCUGCGUAUUGUCAAGGUUACUGGUUGCUCUCUACAAACUGAUACGAAGGCCCCAUUGCUGAAGACAACAUCCUACAAUUCACUGAACAUGGAGAAGUAGAGCUGGUGCCUACAGAGAGCCUUCACCCCUGUGGACUAAAGCUCAUGCUCUUGAAAGGCCUUGGGGAGUCUUCAGGAGAGGAGGCAGAAAGAUUGUGAAAGCCAGAGGUGAUAGAGGACACCAAGCAAACAAUGCCUUCCACACCCAGUAGAAGUGAUGCAUGUAUGAACACACAGAAGUUAUGACAGUAUACACAGAGUCUGCACUGGUCUGACCUUGAUGGCAUCCAAGCCCUGAGAAGGGAAGCAGACACAAGCCUUAUCCGUAACCAAGAAUCUAUCUCUAAUUGAU
ensembl:lncRNA LOC102549780 uncharacterized LOC102549780